rnacentral:rRNA from 1 species
CCUACGGGUGGCAGCAGUGAGGAAUAUUGGUCAAUGGGCUUACGCCUGAACCAGCCAAGUCGCGUGAGGGAAGACUGCCCUAUGGGUUGUAAACCUCUUUUGUCAGGGACGAAGCAAGUGACGGUACCUGAGGAAUAAGCCACGGCUAACUACGUGCCAGCAGCCGCGGUAAUACGGAGGUGGCAAGCGUUAUCCGGAUUUACUGGGUGUAAAGGGCGUGUAGGCGGGACUGCAAGUCAGAUGUGAAAACCACGGGCUCAACCUGUGGCCUGCAUUUGAAACUGUAGUUCUUGAGUACUGGAGAGGCAGACGGAAUUCCUAGUGUAGCGGUGAAAUGCGUAGAUAUUAGGAGGAACACCAGUGGCGAAGGCGGUCUGCUGGACAGCAACUGACGCUGAGGCGCGAAAGCGUGGGGAGCAAACAGGAUUAGAUACCCCUGUAGUC